AUGAGUGAUAUAAUCAGCACAUCAAAUGGCAAACAUUACAUCCAAUCAGAAGAACAGUUUGAUGUGUUUAUUGUGGCUCAUUUUUUUUUAAGUUUUCAUAUUAGCUAAGUGUAGAUUUUUUAUUUGAUUAGCUAUUAUUUGGGUAACUAUUCCUUGAGUAAUUUAGUUACCCAUUGUAAAGAAUUUUUAUUGAGUAUUUAAAAAUGUUUAGUCAUUUUAAAAAUAUAUAAUUUAUGGUCCUGACACUGAAGUUAUUUAGGGCUUGGUUGCCCAGGGCAGCUUUUGGUUCUUUCUGAUGCCAUACUAAUUAGGACAAACCUGAAACUAUUAUAUCUUAAGUGCUAAAAAAUUACUAAUAAUUAUUUUAUCAUGCCCAUGUACUCUUUUCUUUAUAUCUGUUCUUAAUGCUUGAACCCUCCCCAUUAUUAACUUUAAAUAAUGAAACAAAUAUGAAGGGAAAUUGAGGAUAGUAGAAUGAAAUGUUCUCAAAUGAAAACUGGAAGGUAAAUGUGGUCAAUUUAACAGGUAGAUUUCUCUACAAAGAGUAACAAGGGAUUUGGGAAGAUAAAUAUGGUAUUAAUGUUCCAGGUGGUCAAGCUUGUCUUGCAGUAGGAAGAAGCUUGGAUAGAUACAGAUUCUUCAUUUAAGACUUCAUUUUUCUUUGUAAAAGAAAAGCCCAGGCAUCAAAAGAUUAAUGGGCACAUGCUGAGAAGAGAUAGAAAAUGCAACUGAUUUUUUCCCUUCAUGUUUAUCACUAUCAAUUUUUACUCUGCAUAUUUUGUCUUGUCAGUCAUAACCUAUAAAUAAGACUUCAUUGGGAAAAAAAAGUAAAACUCAGUGCGUUCAGUAAAAAACUCAGCAGUCAGCCUUUGUAUUCUUUGAUACUGUUCUAAAUAAAUGAAUGCCUUAGUUCUUGGUUAACAUUUGCACAAUUCUGUACUCUUGCCUCAUGUUCUCUUUUUACUUUUAAAAUAUGUUUCUUGGGAAAAUAAAAUGUAUAGAUGGUUUGUAAGUGAAUAAUUUUAUUUCUUUCUGUAUUAAAAUUUUGCUUUAUAAUUGUUUCUAUUUUAGAAUUUUCUGUUUUGUUUUUUUUUUUACAUUGUCAGAUUGCUCACCAAACACACUUCUACAAUCUGUUCACUAUUAUGCUUUUCCCUUCAGUGCACUAUCAGAGCUGUACUCCAAAUGCAGUUUAUAUUUCAGGGAAAAUUACUUCAAAAUAAAAGCAGAGAUCACUUAAUAAUUUAGUACUUUAGAAUGACAUUCUAAGGUAGUGAUGAAGCUUAAGAUUACAUAUCAAUAUUGGGAUCUUUCAGUAAAUUCAAGUUCCAGUCUCUUUUUCAGUUGCAGCAAAGUUCUCUGGUUUCUAAAACUCAGAAUUCUAGAUCUUAACUGUUGCUGAAUGUGGUGCUCAGACAAUAUUUAAGGAUAUUUCACAGAGAAAGUACAUGUUUUUAUCAGUUAUGCUUUGUAAUAAUUUACAGUACUUUUCGUUUCAUUGUAUAUAUGUCAGUAUUUUUCUAGCUAUUAUUUUAAACUUGUUUGAGACAUAUUAGACAUAAAUUUUUCAUUUUCUUUCUCAAAUGUAGCUUUCUAGUAUCUGGUUUGGAAAUAACAUUAAGAUGCCAAAUGUUUAGAGGUUGAACUAAUGGUCAGUAUGAGUAGUUAACACAUUUACCUGCAUUGUUUCUAUUUGUUGAAUUUUAUUGUUAAUGAUAUUUCUUGGAUUUGGGAGCUGUUUUGGUUUUGGUUUUACAAAAGAUAAUUUAGUUACAUAAUUGUUUCAAAUGACAUGAAGGUAGGACGGGGGAAAAAUCAAUUGUUAUUCAGAAAUUGUUCAAAGAAACUUCUGAGGAAUAUUGAGCCUAUUGAUUGAUGGAAGUAGGUAUGCCAUUUUUAUUUUUACAAAUAUAUAUUUUUUUCAAAUAUGUAUGAGUCCAGGUGUGGGCAAAAAAUAAUUUUAUAGUUUGGGCUAAUGUAUAAAAGUUUUUAAAAGUCUGUAUUACUCACUUGUUGAAUUCAUGAUACCCUGCCGUGGGCAUCAAUUGUAAACCUUUGUUUUUCUAAAAUAAAGUAAUUGAAA
ensembl:lncRNA